AUACGUAGGGUGCAAGCGUUAAUCGGAAUUACUGGGCGUAAAGCGUGCGCAGGCGGUUUUGUAAGACAGUGGUGAAAUCCCCGGGCUCAACCUGGGAACUGCCAUUGUGACUGCAAGGCUGGAGUGCGGCAGAGGGGGAUGGAAUUCCGCGUGUAGCAGUGGAAUGCGUAGAUAUGCGGAGGAACACCGAUGGCGAAGGCAAUCCCCUGGGCCUGCACUGACGCUCAUGCACGAAAGCGUGGGGAGCAAACAGGAUUAGAUACCCUGGUAGUCCACGCCCUAAACGAUGUCAACUGGUUGUUGGGGAUUUAUUUUCUCAGUAACGAAGCUAACGCGUGAAGUUGACCGCCUGGGGAGUACGGCCAAGGUUAAAACUCAAAGGAAUUGACGGGG
rnacentral:rRNA from 1 species